rnacentral:sRNA from 2 species
UGCAUCUGAAGCCUGACGAGGAUGAGAACCUCCGGGGGCAAGAGGUUCGACUCGAGCGCAGCGAGAGAACGUUGCGUCAGCAACGGCCCGCAG